UACGUAGGGGGCAAGCGUUGUCCGGAUUUAUUGGGCGUAAAGAGCGUGUAGGCGGCUUGGUAGGUCUCGCGUCAAAACCUGAGGCUCAACCUCAGUUCGCGUGGGAAACCACCUAGCUAGAGUCCGGAAGAGGAGAACGGAAUUCCCAGUGUAGCGGUGAAAUGACGCAGAUAUUGGGAAGAACACCAGUGGCGAAGGCGGUUCUCUGGGACGGUACUGACGCUGAGACGCGAAAAGCGUGGGGAGCGAACGAGG
rnacentral:rRNA from 1 species